rnacentral:rRNA from 1 species
CUACACGGGUAUCUAAUCCCGUUUGCUCCCCUGGCCUUCGUGUCUCAGUGUCAGGAACUGUCCAGAGACCCGCCUUCGCCACUGGUCUUCCUCAUGAUCUCUACGCAUUUCACUGCUACACCAUGAAUUCCAGUCUCCUCUCCAGUCCUCAAGCACCGCAGUAUCGAAUGCAGUUUCGGAGUUAAGCUCCGAAAUUUCACACCCGACUUACGGCGCCACCUACACACCCUUUACGCCCAAUGAAUCCGAACAACGCUUGAGACCUCUGUAUUACCGCGGCUGCUGGCAC